rnacentral:rRNA from 1 species
GAUGAACGCUAGCGGCAGGCUUAAUACAUGCAAGUCGUGGGGCAGCAGGUUUGUAGCAAUACAGAUGCUGGCGACCGGCAAACGGGUGCGGAACACGUACAGAACCUUCCUUUGAGCGGGGAAUAGCCCAGAGAAAUUUGGAUUAAUACCCCAUAGUAUAAUGAAGUGGCAUCACUUUAUUAUUAAAGAUUUAUCACUCGAAGAUGGCUGUGCGGCUGAUUAGGUAGUUGGCGGGGUAAAGGCCCACCAAGCCUGCGAUCAGUAACUGGUGUGAGAGCACGACCAGUCACACGGGCACUGAGACACGGGCCCGACUCCUACGGGAGGCAGCAGUAAGGAAUAUUGGUCAAUGGAGGCAACUCUGAACCAGCCAUGCCGCGUGGAGGAUGAAGGUCCUCUGGAUUGUAAACUUCUUUAUAUGGGACGAAAAAGGCUUUCUAAGUCGUCUGACGGUACCAUAUGAAUAAGCACCGGCUAACUCCGUGCCAG